ACCAGAGCCCUCAUCUCCUCUCCUGCUCCUGGUGCUCGCAUAUCCAUUCCCCAGGAUUAAUUCUGCAGAAAAUGAGUAUGGCCUGGGUUCAGGCCCUGCAGCACCUUCUGGUCCCAGCUCAUCCUGGCAGGCAUCUUGCCUCAUUUUCACUGGCUGGCGUUCAGAGGCAGAAAUUGCAAAUCCAGGACAUAUGAAGGGGAAUGGCAUGAAACUGUCACUGCUCUGUUGGAUAGGCAGACUUGUUUGCAAUGGUGUGGGACGGGGCAGAGCAGUGGAUGGGAGCUGUUGAGUCACUUAGAUUCAUUGCUAAGUGGGCUGAAAGACAACAGCUGUGCUGUUCUGCCUGCUGACAAAGCAGAGCCGUUCCUGUUUUAAGCCACCUCUGCUACCCCAGAGUCCUACAGUGACCAUAUAUCCUGCCAUCACCCACCUCCAGCCUUUUCUGAACCAGAACACCAGAUCCUUGUCGAGGUUGGGGACAGGGAAUCUGGAAGGAUGCUCUGUGUUCAUCAGCAAGGACUGAUGGAGACGGGGACAUCUCCCCUGCCCCUCUGCAGCCACCAGCACCUGCCUGGGCUCCGUGCAUCCCGUCACAACCAGAGCCCCCAGGACCGGGGCUGUAGUGAUGCCAUGUGCCCUGCUGUGGGGGUGGGAAGGAAAGGGCAGAAGUGGCGACCAGGUGGCAGUAAGCACAGGGGGGGAUGUGUUAGUGCUCGUUAGUGAGGCUGGAGCUUUUUAACACCACACACAGUCCCACCUGUCCCACCCCAGGUGGUGGUGUUAAAGCAGUGUGUCUCCUAAUGCCUGCUUCUUUUACCUCAUGCAGGUAUUGCUGGAGCCCCCCAGUACCAGUAAGGACGACUGCGGGAAGCUGGUAUCCAGGCUGGUCCAGGGAGGUGUGGAAAUCAGGCCCUCUGGAAAAAGUCCUGCUGGAGACAUAACCAAAUCAGACAACUAGAGGACCGUGACAGAUCAAUAAUGUGACUGAUUAAGAGAAAAGGAAAAUAACAAUUAGCAGUUCAUUUUCACUGUGGCAAAAAAGCUCCAUCUGGUGGUGUUUUCACCCAGAAAAAGAAGGUAAGCUGGGGGGAGAGGAAACUGCAGAUGAUAACACUAGGUUGUUCAGAGUGGUUUGUGCCAGAGAAGAGUCAGGAAAUCUCGAGAUCUGCUCAAGACAGUUGAACAGGUGGCAGGAUGGUAAAUGAAGCUGUGUGUGGAUAAAUGCAAAGAAGUGCACUUGUGAGGGGACAGAUAAACUACGGGGGGGGGGGGGGGCGUUGUCAAGCUGCUCACAGAGCAUCAGCACAGCUGCAAAACCUGGGCACAGACAAUCCACUGCAGGCUUGUGCUGCUCAGCACAUAAGUGUUACAAAGAAAGCAA